UACAGAGGUCUCAAGCGUUGUUCGGAUUCAUUGGGCGUAAAGAGCGUGUAGGCGGCCAGGUAGGUCCGCUGUGAAAACUCGAGGCUCAACCUCGAGAUGUCGGCGGAAACCAUCUGGCUAGAGUCCGGAAGAGGAGAGUGGAAUUCCUGGUGUAGCGGUGAAAUGCGCAGAUAUCAGGAAGAACACCCGUGGCGAAGGCGGCUCUCUGGGACGGUACUGACGCUGAGACGCGAAAGCGUGGGAGCGAACAGG
rnacentral:rRNA from 1 species